GGGCGUGUGGUGUACAGGUAUCACGUCUACUUCGUAUGCAGAAGGCCCCGAGUUCAAUUCUCGGCACGUCUA
rnacentral:tRNA from 1 species